UACGAAGGGGGCUAGCGUUGUUCGGAAUUACUGGGCGUAAAGCGAGUGUAGGUGGUUGUCCAAGUUGGAUGUGAAAAGCCUUGAGCUCAACUCAAGAAAUGCAUUCAGGACUGGGCGGCUAGAGGACCGGAGAGGAUAGUGGAAUUCCCAGUGUAGUGGUGAAAUACGUAGAGAUUGGGAAGAACACCAGUGGCGAAGGCGGCUAUCUGGACGGUUUCUGACACUAAGACUCGAAAGCGUGGGGAGCAAACAGG
rnacentral:rRNA from 1 species